rnacentral:lncRNA from 1 species
CCCUUCUUCAUCCCCUUUAGGGGAACUAAAGGGGACUCCGUCCCCUUUAGUUCCCCUAAAGGGGAUGAAGAAGUUCCCCUUCGGGGAGGAACACCCNCUUUGGUUCAUCCCCUUUAGGGGAACUAAAGAAGACGAACUAAAGAAGUUCCCCUUUAGGGGAAGAACACCAAAGGGGAAGAACUAAAGGUGUGUUCUUCCCCUUUAGGGGAACCCCUUCUUCUUCCCCUUCGUUUUCACCCCUUUAGGGGAACUAAAGGGGACGGAGUCCCCUAAAGGGGAAGAAGGGGAGCACUUCUUCAUCCCCUUUAGGGGAACUAAAGAAGACGGAGUCCCCUAAAGGGGAAGAAGAAGAGACUUUGGUUCAUCCCCUUUAGGGGAACUAAAGAAGACGAAGAAAACGAAGAAGAGACUUUGGUUCCCCUUUAGGGGAUGAAGAAGACGUAGGGGUGUGUUCUUCCCCUUUAGGGGAACCCCUUCUUCUUCCCCUUCGUUUUCACCCCUUUAGGGGAACUAAAGAAGACGGAGUCCCCUAAAGGGGAAGAAGGGGAGCACUUCUUCAUCCCCUUUAGGGGAACUAAAGAAGACGGAGUCCCCUAAAGGGGAAGAAGAAGAGACUUUGGGGAUGAAGUCUUCCCCUAAAGGGGAACUAAAGGGGAAGAAGAAGACAGCCAACGAGUUCGUUGAACGUUACUACGUUUCCCCUUCCGGAUUGGCGGAGCAAACAUACACACCAUAUUUGUAGCUCUUUGUAGUUUAGAUUAAGCUAGAUUCCCGAAGGAGGGCUCCGUUAGUGUGCUACAACGACGGUGCUCCGCACCUAGCUUGUAAUUUCCUACUACAACAAGGCUUACUACGUUAGGUUUCCCUACGGGAAACGCGUUACAACCUAAACAUUCCGNNN